rnacentral:rRNA from 1 species
GGACUACCAGGGUAUCUAAUCCGGUUCGCUCCCCACGCUUUCGCGCCUCAGCGUCAGGUCACCCCCAGCCGGCCGCCUUCGCCACUGGUGUUCCUCCCGAUCUCUACGCAUUUCACCACUACACCGGGAAUUCCACCGGCCUCUGAGUGCCUCUAGUCCGGCCGUCUCCUCCGCACCCUCCCAGUUGAGCCGGGAGAUUUCACACAGGACUGACCGCACCACCUGCGCGCGCUUUACGCCCAAUAAAUCCGGACAACGCUCGCCACCUACGUAUUACCGCGGCUGCUGGCAC